CUACGGGUCGCUCCAGAAAGGAAUAUUGCGCAAUGGAGGCAACUCUGACGCAGCCAUGCCGCGUGCAGGAAGAAGGCCUUAUGGGUCGUAAACUGCUUUUAUUUAGGAAUAAACCCCCGAACGUGUUCGGGGCUGAAGGUACUAAACGAAUAAGCACCGGCUAGCUCCGUGCCAGCAGCCGCGGUAAUACGGAGGGUGCAAGCGUUAUCCGGAUUUAUUGGGUUUAAAGGGUGCGCAGGCGGGCUAUUAAGUCAGUGGUGAAAUCCCGGGGCUCAACUCCGGAACUGCCAUUGAUACUGAUAGUCUUGAGUUUGGUUGAAGUGGGCGGAAUGUAGCAUGUAGCGGUGACAUGCAUAGAUAUGCUACAGAACACCAAUCGCGAAGGCAGCUCACUAAGCCAAAACUGACGCUCAUGCACGAAAGCGUGGGGAUCAAACAGGAUUAGAUACCCCGGUAGUC
rnacentral:rRNA from 1 species